rnacentral:tRNA from 1 species
GCCGUCGUAGCUCAGCGGUCAGAGCACCGCCCUGAUAAGGCGGGAGCCGGAGUUCGAUUCCUCCCGUCGGCA